AAAAAUACUUAAUAAUGCAAGAGACGUCGCUUAAUUAAGCCUAAGAAGAGGCGUCUAGAGGCGUCUCUUAUCCUUGGAUCUCCUCUUCUCUCUCUCCAAUCCUUUGAUCUCCUCUCCUCUCUCCAAUUCACCUCUGUCUUCUCGGACACCGGUGAUGAGCCGGAGAUUGUUGACGCCGCCGGAUCCGACGGCUCUUCUAAGAUCCAGCUGGAUCAGUUUAACGCCAAGAUCCGAGCUUUAGAAACCCAAAUCGAUGAGAAAACCCGUGAAGUUAAGGGAAAAGACGAGUUGGUAGCAGAGAAGGAGAAGCUUGGACCAAAGAAGCUGAGAAAAAACUAAGAGGAUGAACGAAGUAGCUGAAGAGUCUAACUGUCUAAGCAGGUUUCUUAUAGAGUUGUUAAAGAUGAGAACGGAAACGUCGUCAAGCUUUAGUGUCCCGGCAUUGGUAAACAGUUUGCUGCUGAGGAAGCGUGUUGAUGAUGCCUCAAGAUUCUUGAACGAUAAAGGAACCAAGGCUGUGAAGAUAUACCAAAAGAACCAACAUACAAGGCUAUACUUAGUGGAAGGGUGAGUACAUCUCUCUCUUUUAUUGCAUUGCUUAGGCUUCUCUGUGUACAACUUUUCUUGUGUCAUUGUCUUUAUAAUAUUAUAUUGUAAUGAAAGUUUAUUCACAAGAAGCCUUUGUUACUC